rnacentral:rRNA from 1 species
UUACGGGAGGCAGCAGUAAGGAAUAUUGGUCAAUGGGGGCAACCCUGAACCAGCCAUGCCGCGUGCAGGAAGACGGCCCUACGGGUUGUAAACUGCUUUUAUACGGGAAUAAACCUCUCUACGUGUAGAGAGUUGAAUGUACUGUAAGAAUAAGGAUCGGCUAACUCCGUGCCAGCAGCCGCGGUAAUACGGAGGAUCCAAGCGAUAUCCGGAUUUAUUGGGUUUAAAGGGUGCGUAGGCGGCCUAUUAAGUCAGGGGUGAGAGACGGUGGCUCAACCAUCGCAGUGCCCUUGAUACUGAUGGGCUUGAUUACACUUGAGGUAGGCGGAAUGUGACAAGUAGCGGUGAAAUGCAUAGAUAUGUCACAGAACACCAAUUGCGAAGGCAGCUUACUAAGGUGUUAAUGACGCUGAGGCACGAAAGCGUGGGGAUCAAACAGGAUUAGAUACCCGAGUAU